rnacentral:rRNA from 1 species
GGUUUCCUACGCGAUGCUCGUCAUCGUAGGGUUAGUCGGGUCCUAAGUCGAGUCCGAAAGGGGUAGACGAUGGCAAAUUGGUUAAUAUUCCAAUACCAACAUUAGUGUGCGAUGGAAGGACGCUUAGGGCUAAGGGGGCUAGCGGAUGGAAGUGCUAGUCUAAGGUCGUAGGAGGUUAUACAGGCAAAUCCGUAUAACAAUACUCCGAGAACUGAAAGGCUUUUUGAAGUCUUCGGAUGGAUAGAAGAACCCCUGAUGCCAUCGAGCCAAGAAAAGUUUCUAAGUUUAGCUAAUGUUGCCCGUACCGUAAACCGACACAGGUGGGUGGGAUGAGUAUUCUAAGGCGCGUGGAAGAACUCUCUUUAAGGAACUCUGCAAAAUAGCACCGUAUCUUCGGUAUAAGGUGUGGUUCGCUUCGUAUUAGGAUUUACUCCGAAAGCGAAGAAACUUACAACAAAGAGUCCCUCCCGACUGUUUACCAAAAACACAGCACUCUGCUAACUCGUAAGAGGAUGUAUAGGGUGUGACGCCUGCCCGGUGCUCGAAGGUUAAUUGAUGGGGUUAGCAUUAGCGAAGCUCUUGAUCGAAGCCCGAGUAAACGGCGGCCGUAACUAUAACGGUCCUAAGGUAGCGAAAUUCCUUGUCGGUUAAAUACCGACCUGCAUGAAUGGCGUAACGAGAUGGGAGCUGUCUCAAAGAGGGAUCCAGUGAAAUUGUAGUGGAGGUGAAAAUUCCUCCUACCCGCGGCAAGACGGAAAGACCCCGUGGACCUUUACUACAGCUUGACACUGCUAUUUGGAUAAGAAUGUGCAGGAUAGGUGGGAGGCUUUGAGUAUAUGACGCCAGUUGUAUAUGAGCCAUUGUUGAGAUACCACUCUUUCUUAUUUGGGUAGCUAACCAGCUUGAGUUAUCCUCAAGUGGGACAAUGUCUGGUGGGUAGUUUGACUGGGGCGGUCGCCUCCCAAAUAAUAACGGAGGCUUACAAAGGUUGGCUCAGAACGGUUGGAAAUCGUUCGUAGAGUAUAAAGGUAUAAGCCAGCUUAACUGCAAGACAUACAAGUCAAGCAGAGACGAAAGUCGGUCUUAGUGAUCCGGUGGUUCUGUGUGGAAGGGCCAUCGCUCAAAGGAUAAAAGGUACCCCGGGGAUAACAGGCUGAUCUCCCCCAAGAGCUCACAUCGACGGGGAGGUUUGGCACCUCGAUGUCGGCUCAUCGCAUCCUGGGGCUGGAGCAGGUCCCAAGGGUAUGGCUGUUCGCCAUUUAAAGCGGUACGCGAGCUGGGUUCAGAACGUCGUGAGACAGUUCGGUCCCUAUCUGCCGUGGGCGUAAGAAGAUUGAAGAGAUUUGACCCUAGUACGAGAGGACCGGGUUGAACAAACCACUGGUGUAGCUGUUGUUCUGCCAAGAGCAUCGCAGCGUAGCUAAGUUUGGAAAGGAUAAACGCUGAAAGCAUCUAAGCGUGAAGCCAACUCUAAGAUGAAUCUUCUCUAAGCUCUCUAGAAGACUACUAGUUUGAUAGGCUGGGUGUGUAAUGGAUGAAAGUCCUUUAGCUGACCAGUACUAAUAGAGCGUUUGGCUUAUCUUUAAUAAAGCAU